GGAGCUUGCUCCACCGGAAAAAGAAGAGUGGCGAACGGGUGAGUAACACGUGGGUAACCUGCCCAUCAGAAGGGGAUAACACUUGGAAACAGGUGCUAAUACCGUAUAACAAUCGAAACCGCAUGGUUUUGAUUUGAAAGGCGCUUUCGGGUGUCGCUGAUGGAUGGACCCGCGGUGCAUUAGCUAGUUGGUGAGGUAACGGCUCACCAAGGCCACGAUGCAUAGCCGACCUGAGAGGGUGAUCGGCCACAUUGGGACUGAGACACGGCCCAAACUCCUACGGGAGGCAGCAGUAGGGAAUCUUCGGCAAUGGACGAAAGUCUGACCGAGCAACGCCGCGUGAGUGAAGAAGGUUUUCGGAUCGUAAAACUCUGUUGUUAGAGAAGAACAAGGAUGAGAGUAACUGUUCAUCCCUUGACGGUAUCUAACCAGAAAGCCACGGCUAACUACGUGCCAGCAGCCGCGGUAAUACGUAGGUGGCAAGCGUUGUCCGGAUUUAUUGGGCGUAAAGCGAGCGCAGGCGGUUUCUUAAGUCUGAUGUGAAAGCCCCCGGCUCAACCGGGGAGGGUCAUUGGAAACUGGGAGACUUGAGUGCAGAAGAGGAGAGUGGAAUUCCAUGUGUAGCGGUGAAAUGCGUAGAUAUAUGGAGGAACACCAGUGGCGAAGGCGGCUCUCUGGUCUGUAACUGACGCUGAGGCUCGAAAGCGUGGGGAGCAAACAGGAUUAGAUACCCUGGUAGUCCACGCCGUAAACGAUGAGUGCUAAGUGUUGGAGGGUUUCCGCCCUUCAGUGCUGCAGCUAACGCAUUAAGCACUCCGCCUGGGGAGUACGACCGCAAGGUUGAAACUCAAAGGAAUUGACGGGGGCCCGCACAAGCGGUGGAGCAUGUGGUUUAAUUCGAAGCAACGCGAAGAACCUUACCAGGUCUUGACAUCCUUUGACCACUCUAGAGAUAGAGCUUCCCCUUCGGGGGCAAAGUGACAGGUGGUGCAUGGUUGUCGUCAGCUCGUGUCGUGAGAUGUUGGGUUAAGUCCCGCAACGAGCGCAACCCUUAUUGUUAGUUGCCAUCAUUCAGUUGGGCACUCUAGCAAGACUGCCGGUGACAAACCGGAGGAAGGUGGGGAUGACGUCAAAUCAUCAUGCCCCUUAUGACCUGGGCUACACACGUGCUACAAUGGGAAGUACAACGAGUCGCGAAGUCGCGAGGCUAAGCUAAUCUCUUAAAGCUUCUCUCAGUUCGGAUUGUAGGCUGCAACUCGCCUACAUGAAGCCGGAAUCGCUAGUAAUCGCGGAUCAGCACGCCGCGGUGAAUACGUUCCCGGGCCUUGUACACACCGCCCGUCACACCACGAGAGUUUGUAACACCCGAAGUCGGUGAGGUAACC
rnacentral:rRNA from 1 species